CACAUUUUAAUCAUACAUUCAUCAAAAUAUUGUUCAAAUUUUGACAAAUAAAUAAGACUGAAACAGAUAAUUCUAUAAUAAUACACAAUAUAAUCAAACCUAUGCUGGUCGAACGUUCGAUUAAUAGCCAAUGCCAGAGAUCUAAUUUACAAAGGGAACGGGGGUGGGGGGGGGGGUGGAGAACUGGAAUCCAGGUUGAAUAUUGCAUCUGUAGGCAGCCAUUAGUAGGGUUCCAGAUUAACAUCAAGAGGAUAUUUUGGUAAUUGCACAAACUGAAGACAUGUCUGGGAACUUGUUGCAACAAGUGAGCAAGGCCCAAGAAACAAUUGUCGUUCACUGCAUAAUCUCGAGCUUGACAAAACCCUAAAUCUGCUGACUACAAGUAGAAAACUUGUCAUUAAUUUUUGCAAAACAAAAUAUUGAGAUAUAUUAAGACCCUCAACAGAAAUAAGCAAACCUUAACAGUAAUUGUGAGUAAGAUCAAGCUAAUCAUAGUUACAUACAAAAUCAGCACAAAAACUGCAGCCUUAAACCCUACUUAAGGAAUUUGUAGAGCAGAAUGAAGCGUACCUUUGUUCAGGUAGUUGAAGUUCUUCAGAGCAUAAAAGUAACAGACUAUAAUUAAGCAAAAUGAAACCUUGAUUGAUUACUAAACAGAACUAAAAUAUAAAGUGAACUUAAGCAGUACAGGAUAAGAAAACAGUGGAAGGGAGCUCCCUUCAGUCCAAGUACAGAAAGCUUAAGAUUCAACUUGACUCUCGCAUCAUUCACUCAGUUACCGUGUAAAACUCAUCAACUACACAGCAUUUGGAUGAAUGAGUCAACAGCAAAUUGAAUCCUACGGCCUCCCAUAACUGGACUGAAGAAAGCUCUCUUCUAAAGUCGCGUCAUCAAUAUUCAAUAAAAUGGAAGUUUAAAAAUUUCAAGCAUCUCUCCAUGGAAUAAAAAUGAAAAAUUGGACACAGUCAAAAACACAUAAAAAAAUCUUAG
rnacentral:lncRNA from 1 species